rnacentral:rRNA from 1 species
GACAGAGGGUGCAAACGUUGUUCGGAAUUACUGGGCGUAAAGCGCGUGUAGGCUGCCUUGCAAGUCGGGUGUGAAAGCCCUGGGCUCAACCUAGGAAGUGCACUCGAAACUGCAAGGCUGGAGUCCUGGAGAGGAAGGCGGAAUUCUCGGUGUAGAGGUGAAAUUCGUAGAUAUCGAGAGGAACACCGGUGGCGAAGGCGGCCUUCUGGACAGUGACUGACGCUGAGACGCGAAAGCGUGGGGAGCAAACAGG